CCCUUAGAUGUUCUGGGCCGCACGCGCGCUACACUGAUGCAUUCAACGAGCCUAUCCCUGACCGACAGGUCCGGGUAAUCUUUGAAUCUGCAUCGUGACGGGGAUAGAUUAUUGCAAUUAUUAAUCUUCAACGAGGAAUGCCUAGUAGGCGCAAGUCAUCAGCUUGCGUCGAUUACGUCCCUGCCCUUUGUACACACCGCCCGUCGCUCCUACCGAUUGGGUGUGCUGGUGAAAUGUUCGGAUCGGCCGUUUGUCGCGGUUUCCGCGCCAUGUGGCUGAGAAGUUCAUUAAACCCUCCCACCUAGAGGAAGGAGAAGUCGUAACA
rnacentral:rRNA from 1 species